UCGACACAACUAUUGUAGCUUCUGAGUGUCUCCUAUUGAACUCCACUCGACCAUCUGAGAGGUCAUUCUCCAACUGGUACGGUGUGAGCAGCCAGGGAAGAAGAGGAAAUGCUCCAUCACCAAUUAUGUAUUCUGCAACUUGCCAUCCAUUCAGCUUGCUACCAUUCAACCAAUUACCCUUCUCGCACUCCUUGAAGAGCCUAGAAUCCUUCAAAAUGCUUGACUCAUUCUUGUUGUCUAGCGACCCCAACCAAAUUUCUCUGAACUUCAUGUCUGUAGCAACUACAAGUUGGAUUAGCCUGCCGGCAUUCACCUCAUGAUCACUGUUUUCUGAUCCAAAUGUGAAGUAAGCUGUAUGUACAACACCACAGCAGUUUGGCAGCCGUGAAUGUUGUCAAACUUGUACUUGAUCUUCUCUAUUUCGCUGGAGUCUGGCCACCAUAAGUGGUGCGAAGCUCGCUGCCACAUAACAUCUGCAAACGUCUGGGUGAUCAGCGAGAUGGUUGCCUCGUUCACACCAAUAGAGGAUCCUAAGGUUGCAGCUGGGUUGCCAGAGUUGAGCAUUAUCAACGCAAUGGCUACUCUAUCUUCUAAAGAAAAGAACCUUAUAUCGAAAAAAAAGUAGAUGUUCAUAAUUCCCAAAGACAAUUCCUUCAGCAAGCUGCAGAUAUAGUCAAAGGUUCUUCUUUGCAUUUUCAACACAGAUUCGAUUAGUUGUGCAUCUUCAAAAAUAUCCAGGGUUCCUGCACGAGAAGAGGAUGCAAAAGUGGUUUCACAAUCCAUAACUUGAAGUCAAGAGCUGACUUGUCACAGGGUUAAAAUUGCAUCCAUAAAUUCAAAAGUAAUUGGUCGACAACAGAUACAGCAACUAGUAAUUGCUAAAACUGAAGUAAAUAUUCAUUCUUUUUUUUAACGAACUUUAGGUGUCAGAUCACACACCUAAAAGAGGAGGCCAUCCGGCCGGUUGCACACCAUAUAUCAGUUUCAAUUAAAUACAGUGACGACAAUAUAUACCUGCGCUACCUCAUGCACACAUAUGGCAAAUACUCAUUUAUUGUGUGUCUCUUGCUCCAAACUGCCGGACUCUCAAUAGCGGAAGAUCAUAUAACAUCCCACACGACACAUAUGCAUAUAUUUGUGCAUCUAUUGAAUAUGGAAAUUAGAUCAACUUCAUGCAAGAUCAAGAUUCGCCUUUAUGCACACAUGCAUGGUAAUUUUGGUUACAUAUAUAUACAUCUAAAAUUCUAUUACUAAAGAAUAAGGUGUCAUCACUCACGAUGUAGCUCGGCUUUGACAACCGGCAGUAAAUGAACCAUUCACACCAGGUGACCUGUUCACAAAGUUAAUUAACGUUGUUCUACGGUCGAGGUACUCUAUAAAAAUAUCAUUGCUCCAAGUGACGUCAACAGGGUUGUCAAGUUUCUUCUAGAACUUGUUGGUACCAGAAGAAAAAUCUAACAGACACAGAAACCAACCGAAUUAAGAUGCAGCAAUAUUAGUACUAAUUAAUUUACCUCCAGAUUCCGACGGUUUUCUAGUCAAGUGUUGCGACAAUAUAUCCCUUGCUGCUACUGCAUCCUCAUCUGCUAACUGGUGAACUUCCUGGCAAAGCUGCAUCUUGCGAUAGCUCGCUAUGCCUGCCUUACACUCCAUUUGUAUCACUAUAUUAUGCAAUGUGAAGCAUUCUAUGAUUGCCCGAGAAAGCUCAAGGUGAUUGUUUGGACACCAACUCUCUCCGUGCAGGAACUUCCACGUGUCUUUCAACCUUCCUACAGCCCUCGACACAACUGUCGUGGCUUCCGAGUGUUUCCUAUUGAACUUCAGUCGACAAUCUGAGAGGUCAUUCUCCAACUGGUAUGGUGUGAGCAGCCAGGGAAGAAGAGGAAAUGCUCCAUCACCAAUUAUGUAUUCUCCAACUUGCCAUCCAUCCGAUAAAUUCAGCUUGCUACCAUUCAACCAAUUACCCUUCUCGCACUCCUUGAAGAGCCUCGAAUCCUGCAAAAUGCUUGACUCGUUCGUGCUGUCUGGCGGCCCCAACCAAAUUUCUGUGAACCUCAUGUCUGUACCAACAACAACUUGGACUGGCCAGCCGUCAUUCACCUCAUGAUCACAGUUUAGUGAUCCGAAUGUGAAGUGAGCUGUAUGUACAACACCGCAGCAGUUUGGCAGGCCGUGAAUCUUGUCAAACUUGUACUUGAUCUUCUCAAUUUCGCCAGAGUCUGGCCAGCACACGUGUGAAGCUUGCUGCCACAUAACAUCUGCAAACGUCCGAGUUAUCAGCAAGACGGUGCCUCGUUCACACCAAUAGAGGAUCCUACGGUUGCAGGUGGGUUGCCAGAGUUGAGCAUUAUCAGCGCAAUGGCUACUCGAUCUUCUAAAGAAAAGCACCUCAGAUCAAAAAAGAAGUAGCUGUUCAUAAUUUCCAAAGACGAUUCCUUCAGCAAGCUGCAGACAUAGUCAAAGGUUUUUCUUGGCAUUUUCAACACAGACUCAAGUGUUUGUGCAUUCUCAAAAAUUGCCAGGGUUCCUGCGCAAGAAGAAGAUGCAGAAGUGCUGUCACAAUCGAUAACUUGAUGGCAAGAGCUCAGCUGUGAGAGUGUUAAAACUGCAUCCACCAAUUCAGAGACUAGUACCGAUCGGCAACCCAGGCCAUACAACACAACAGGUACAUACUUUUCUGUUUUAACCACAAUAUAAAAGAGGAAGCCGUCCGGCAGGUCACACACCAUAUUCGUGCACUACCUCAUGUAUUCAUAUGGCACAUACUCAUUUCGUGUCUGUUGCUCCAAUCGUCCAGAUUCUAUAGAUAUAUGAUAAUAUAAUAUAACACGAACCAAACAUUUAAAUAUGGAAUUAGGAUCAAUGUGGUUUGUCAGAAUUUUUUUGAUCAAUGUGCAUGUGUGAUAGACUCCUUUCUCCAGACAUGCAUGGUAAUUUUGGUUACACAUAUGUACAUCUAAAACUUUGUUCCUACACACACAUGCGCAUAUGUUUUUUUGAGAUUGACAAUGUGUAUAUGUACAUCUAAAGCUUAUUAAAGAACAAGGGGUCAUCAGACACAGUGUAGCUCGGCUUUGACAACUGGCAAUAAAUGAACCAUGCACACCAGGUGGUCUGUUCACAAAGUUAAGUAACGUUGUUCUAUGGUCGAUGUACUCCAUACAAAUAUCAUUGCUGCAAGCAACGACAGCAAGGUUGUACAUUUUUUAUUAUUUGAUAUUGUUUCUGUUAGAACAACUAGCAUAACAAACAAGGCAUUUGCGUGGCUAGAUUUAUUUGAUAUUGUUAUGCUCCCUCUGAUUCAUAUUACUUGUCUCAAACUUGUCCAAAUAUAAAUGUUUCUAUGUUUAAAAAGCGUCUAGAUACAUGUAAUAUUUCGACAAGUAAUAUGGAUCGGAGGGAGUAUUUUGAUGUUCUGUCCUGUCGGCUGGGACACAAUAACGAGUUAUAAUUCAAUUUAAUUUGCAGCUACACUCACAAUGAUAUAUCAAUCAUAGUAUUGAAAAAUUCAAUAACCACAUUUUGAAAAAAGACAUAAAUCUUUUUGGUCUCAAACAAAGAUAUGGUUCCUGAGAAAACUCUGUUAGUGUGAACAAUCAGACUUAAAGGAAUAAUCAUAUAGUCAAUUAGGUUUCUAAACUAGGUAAUAACAAUCUACUAUAUACUAAAAGUACAUGAAGAUAGAAAGACAAGAAAAUGCAAAAAAAGGCAAAACAUUUGACAGUUAAUAUGUGGACAUGGAUAAUUACAGCCAUUGGGAUCUUCCUAAUCGUAACGGCGGAAGAUCUCUCCAGGAACAUUACAUUGAUACCGCUGAUCGAGGUUAGGCCGGGAUCCUAGUUACUAAAUUUAUUAAAAGUGUAAAGAAUGUUCAAUGUAAUAAUAAUUACUAAAAUUAGAAAGUUGUAUUUAGUAACAUGACCAAACUUCCGAACUUUUGAAAAUACAUCAGGCAUAAACAUCAAGUUCUUCUAGAAAUUGUUGGUACCAGAAAGCAAAUUUAAAAGACAGCCAAACGAAUUAACAUGCAGCAACAGUUGUACUAAUUAAUUUACCUCCAGAUUCCGAUGGUUUGCUAGUCAAGUGUUGUGACAAUAUAUCCCUUGCCGUGAUCGCAUCCUCAUCUGCUAACUAGCGCACUUCCUAGCUACAGUUCAUCUUGUGAUAGCUUGACGUGCCUGCCUCACAGUCCAUUUUUAUCACUAUGUUAUGCAAUAUGCAACAUGCUAUGAUUGCCCGAGAAAGCUCAAGCUGAUUUUUCGGACGCCAACUCUCUCCGUGCAGGAUCAUCCAUGUGUCUUUCAACCUUGCUACAGCCCUCAACACAACUGUUGUGGCUUCUGAGUGUCCUAUUGAACUCCACUCGACCAUCUGAGAGGUCAUUCUCCAUCUGGUACGGUGUGAGCAGCCAGGGAAGAAGAGGAAAUGCUUCAUCACCAAUUAUGUAUUCUCUAACUUGCCAUCCAUCCGAUAAAUUCAGCUUGCUACCAUUCAACCAAGCACCCUUCUCGCACUCCUUGAAGAGCCUCGAAUCCUGCAAAAUGCUUGACUUGUUCGUGCUGUCUGGCGGCCCCAACCAAAUUUCUGUGAACCUCAUGUCUGUACCAACAACAACUUGGACUAGCCUGCAAGUCAUUCACCUCAUGAUCACAGUUUAGUGAUCCGAAUGUGAAGUGAGCUGUAUGUACAACACCGCAGCAGUUUGGCAAGCCGUGAAUCUUGUCAAACUUAUACUUGAUCUUCUCAAUUUCGCUGGCACACGUGUGAAGCUCGCUGCCACAUAACAUCUGCGAACGUCCGAGUUAUCAGCAAGACGGUUGCCUCAUUCACACCAAUAGAGGAUCCUACGGUUGCAGGUGUGUUGCCAGAGUUGAGCAUUAUCAGCGCAAUGGCUACUCGAUCUUCUAAAGAAAAGCACCUCAGAUCGAAAAAGAAGUAGCUGUUCAUAAUUUCCAAAGACGAUUCCUCCAGCAAGCUGCAGACAUAGUCAAAG
rnacentral:lncRNA from 1 species